rnacentral:rRNA from 1 species
GAUGAACGCUGGCGGCGUGCCUAAUACAUGCAAGUCGAGCGAAUGGAUUAAGAGCUUGCUCUUAUGAAGUUAGCGGCGGACGGGUGAGUAACACGUGGGUAACCUGCCCAUAAGACUGGGAUAACUCCGGGAAACCGGGGCUAAUACCGGAUAACAUUUUGAACCGCAUGGUUCGAAAUUGAAAGGCGGCUUCGGCUGUCACUUAUGGAUGGACCCGCGUCGCAUUAGCUAGUUGGUGAGGUAACGGCUCACCAAGGCAACGAUGCGUGGCCGACCUGAGAGGGUGAUCGGCCACACUGGGACUGAGACACGGACCAGACUCCUACGGGAGGCAGCAGUAGGGAAUCUUCCGCAAUGGACGAAAGUCUGACGGAGCGACGCCGCGUGAGUGAUGAAGGCUUUCGGGUCGUAAAACUCUGUUGUUAGGGAAGAACAAGUGCUAGUUGAAUAAGCUGGCACCUUGACGGUACCUAACCAGAAAGCCACGGCUAACUACGUGCCAGCCGCCGCGGUAA